GGGCGUAUAGCUUAACGGUAAAGCCGACUGCUCAUAACAGCCAUGAUCUCGGUUCGAUUCCGGGUGCGCUCACCA
rnacentral:tRNA from 1 species